UACGUAAGGUGCGAGCGUUAAUCGGAAUUACUGGGCGUAAAGCGUGCGCAGGCGGUUUUGUAAGCCAGAUGUGAAAUCCCCGGGCUCAACCUGGGAAUGGCAUUUGGGACUGCAAGGCUUGAGUGCGGCAGAGGAGACUGGAAUUCCUGGUGUAGCAGUGAAAUGCGUAGAUAUCAGGAGGAAUACCGAUGGCGAAGGCAGGUCUCUGGGCUGACACUGACGCUCAUGCACGAAAGCGUGGGGAGCAAACAGG
rnacentral:rRNA from 1 species